GCCAGGUUAGCUCAGUCGGUAGAGCGGGUGCACAUAUACAGAGGUUUAUGCCUUGACGCAGAAGGUCCAGGGUUCGACUCUGACCUGGGA
rnacentral:tRNA from 1 species